AACCGGGUGGUUCCUCCAAAUUGGCCGGACCACGCGGAACGCGUCUCUCUCGCGUCGUCCCCCACUCACCAACGAGGAAGGCGUCCCGCGCGGCGCCCCGCUCCCUCUCCCUCGAUGGGCAUGGCGGCGGCCAUACACCUCCCCCUCCUCUACGGCACCCCCUCGCCGCGGUUGGAUAUGCAGCCUUGUCGGCGUCUCCUUCCCCUCGCCGGAGAUGCAGCUUCGCCGCGUCUCCUGCCCCUCGACCAAGGAUCUAGGAAAGGACGGGGCGGCUCCCUCUCGAUCCGGCCUCUCCCUCGGCUCGCCCUCUGGAACGACGGCUCCUCCCCCGUCUUUCUCUCGUCAAGCAGCAGCUGAUUGCUCCCUCCUCCCGUUCCUCUCACCCAGUAGGCAGCAACGAUGGCAGGUCAGAUGCAGCCGAUUUGUUGGGAAGUAGAGCAGAUAAGCAGCGGUCGGCUCGGCCCGUUUCCUUCCCGGCAGCUAGCCGGCCGGUGGCAUCCAGACACCUGGGCGGUAGCAGCAAGAGAAGCAUCAGCGACGGCAAGAGCAAGCUCCUUCGAUUGACUCUUUCUAGCUUGGCAUUCUCCGUCCAAAAAUCAGUAGUACUCAACUUGAUUAGUGCUAGCUUUGUGUGCUCUGUGUUGAGACUGGUAGUAAUAAUUUUUGUUGUCAUUAAUACUUUGUGAUCUAGAUUUUGUGCUUCAUGAACAUUUGUUAUUUAUUUUCUGAAAAGUUGCUUUGACUACCAUUUUUAUAUAUAAACAAUCAAAUAUCAGGUUAUAUAUUUCAGUGAUAAAUCAUUGUGAAAUUAAAAUGUUGUUCAAAACUAUUUAUACUUUCGAGUGGAGUUAUAAAUUAUUGUGAGUGGAAUCAAAUUCAUUCGAUUCAAUCUCUCCAACCAAACACCGAAAUGUAACCAUUCCAUUCCAUCUACUGUGCUCAAGCAAACACAGAGACGGAACCGACCCAUUCUAGUGGAAUGGAACCAUGACAUUCCAUUCCACUUCGUUCCGCAACCAAACACACCCUUAUAUGCCUUUGUAAGGUAAUCAGUCGUGUAUGUCAAUGGCAGUGGUUUAAAAUACGUAAGCUGAUGCAUCUUGUGCUUGCUUGUCACUGUGUUUCUACUAGGCAAGGUCUGCAAUAGAUUAUAUAUAUAUUCAUUCAAAUAUGACGUGGUCUUCUUCCUUUGCCUUCGUUAACAUAUUUAUUUGGGCGUUCCUUUUCUCUGUACUUUGUUUGGGCAGUAUUUUUCCCUACACAUGUCCUUUUCGAUUAUAAGUUCAUGAGCUAAUUUGGUCAUAAUGUAACCCGGUCCUAAAAGUACUCUUGCACUGCAGAAUUCUCUUAUUUACAUGUUUGGUCACGAUAUAGCUCUGUCCUAAAUCUACUUUGCUUUCAGUUUGAAUCUGUCAUGACCUGGGUAGAUAUACUCUAGACCUUGAUAUAUGAGUACGUAAUGGAAGAAGUGGACAUCUUGGUCACUGCAGAUUUUCUCUGUUCAUUUAAAAAAGAGUGAAUUACAAAAUUUGUCAUGACCUGGAUAGAUAUACUCUAGACCUUGAUAUAUGAGUACAUAAUGGAAGAAGUGGACCUUGAUAUAUGAGGUAGCUAUUCAUCCAUCUUGCUUUUUAGAAAAUUUGUGACCACAGAGGCCGAAGACGCCACCCUGUAAUGUCGCGCUGAUGGUAGCCCAUACUGCUUUGCCGAUGAAUAAUAUCGUAAGCGUAACAGCUAAUGUUUGAAUUUUUCAUACCGCUUCAGCUAACCUAUGAAUAGGUCUGCACUCUGCACCUACAUAUUUUGAUGAUCGUACACUGUUGCCGUGGCUGGCCAAUAUGAUGAUAUGUUUAAUGAAGGUUUUGAAUAUUCUAUUCGCAUAGCUCUGACAGGUAAGGAUACUUUAGGUUGCAGCUCAACUAUGUAUCUGUGGAUAUUAAUCUUACAACAUUUUAUUUCUUCUGUUUUUGGACUUCAAAUUUCUGCGAAUUGUGGCUUAACUAUGAUACUUUAGGUCGCAUGCUAAACUAUGUAUAUGUGAAUUGUGGCUCAGCUAUGAGGUUUCUAAUGAACAUUUUGGGUAUUCUAUUACUACGUCUUUGAAAGGUUAGGAUACUUUAGGACUCAGCCAUGCCUCUCAGUUUCCCGCCUUCCCCACUAAGCCAGAAGAGGUGGUAUAGUGGAGCAAGCAUCAGGUACUAAUCAGGUUAUUGAUGCCGCCGGAUAGCUGUCGUUGGCUAUAAUGUGAUUAGCAGGUGCCAAGCCCUCCGACGCCCAGCUGUUCGCUGUUGUCUCUGCCCGAAGAAGGAUUAUGGUCCUCCACCUCUCUGCUACUCCUUUUAAAAUUCUGGUAAAAACACCGGCAUGUUGUUUGAGGUGCAUGCAUCGGUUGUAGCGAAGAUGUCCAUAUGACGAUGCAUUGCUAACCAUGGAGCACCGCAAGGAUUUAGAAUAUGUACCGCAACUUAGAGACUUGGCACAUUGCCACUUGCUCCUACCACCAUGCAAGUGGUCGAUGCUUUAGUGUUGAACUAUUAAUUAAUCCAUCGUUUUUCUUUAAUCUAUGUGAUGGUGCCCCUUGCCAUAAAUACUUGUUAUGUGGAUUCAAUAGAAAUGAUGUUUUAAGCAUGUUUGAUCGUUA